UACGUAGGGUGCGAGCGUUGUCCGGAAUUAUUGGGCGUAAAGAGCUCGUAGGCGGUGUGUCGCGUCGGCCGUGAAAACCUGGGGCUCACUCUGGGCGUGCGGUCGAUACGGGCAUCACUAGAGUUCGGCAGGGGAGACUGGAAUUCCUGGUGUAGCGGUGAAAUGCGCAGAUAUCAGGAGGAACACCGGUGGCGAAGGCGGGUCUCUGGGCCGAUACUGACGCUGAGGAGCGAAAGCAUGGGUAGCGAACAGG
rnacentral:rRNA from 1 species